UACAGAGGUGGCAAGCGUUGUUCGGAAUUACUGGGCGUAAAGGGCGCGUAGGCGGUCUUGUAAGUCUCGUGUGAAAUCCCUCGGCUUAACUGAGGAACUGCACGGGAUACUGCAUGACUUGAGGUCGGGAGAGGGAAGCGGAAUUCCGGGUGUAGCGGUGAAAUGCGCAGAUAUCAGGAGGAACACCGGUGGCGAAGGCGGGUCUCUGGGCCGAUACUGACGCUGAGGAGCGAAAGCGUGGGGAGCGAACAGG
rnacentral:rRNA from 1 species